rnacentral:rRNA from 1 species
UACGAAGGGGGCUAGCGUUGCUCGGAAUCACUGGGCGUAAAGGGUGCGUAGGCGGGUCUUUUAAGUCAGGGGUGAAAUCCUGGAGCUCAACUCCAGAACUGCCUUUGAUACUGAAGAUCUUGAGUUCGGGAGAGGUGAGUGGAACUGCGAGUGUAGAGGUGAAAUUCGUAGAUUAUUCGCAAGAAACACCAGUGGCGAAGGCGGCUCACUGGCCCG